rnacentral:rRNA from 1 species
UAGGUGGGAGGCUUUGAAGGUUUCCUUCCGGGGGAAUCUGAGCCGUCAUUGAGAGACCACUCUGGAAGAGCUAGAAUCCUAAUAGUGAUCUUUGAAUCAAGACACUUGACAGUUUCAGGUGGGCAGUUUAUCUGGGGCGGAUGCCUCCUAAAGGGUAACGGAGGUGUGCAAAGGUUCCCUCAGUCUGGACGGAAAUCAGACUUUAAGAGUGUAAAGGCAAAAGGGAGCUUGACUGCAAGACCUACAAGUCGAGCAGGGGCGAAAGCCGGCCUUAGUGAUCCGACGGUACCGUGUGGAAGGGCCGUCGCUCAACGGAUAAAAGUUA